UUAAAAACACAAUUGUUUUUCUAUUUUAUAUGUCAUAUAUUAAACACAUAUCUAUAUAAAUAUAUAAAACAGAUUGUGGAUGCCAUAUUUUUGAGGAGUGGAAAUGGAGUUACAAGUAACAAAGAUGAGAACUGAAUUUAAUCUUUUAAAAUGAAACAGGUAUUCGGUAUAACGUCCACUGUUUGAGACAACAAAAUGUAAGGUUGUGCUUUUCUGAGAGGAAAAUGUCUGGUUGGGGAUUUCUUAACAAAAUGCUAUCCCAGUAUUUGAUUAUUGAAUGUUUCCCUAACCCACAACACGCUAGCAUGCCAAGCCUUUUCUCAAAUCCUAUUUUGUCUGUAAUUUGCUGCUGCUUGUGCAUAAAUCAUUUCAUUUGGUGUGGUCUUGCAAGGGACAGUGUCAGAGACCAUUGGUUAUAACCUUUACGUGAACCUUCAUAGACGUGACUUAACUAACCUGCGACCACCGUACUGCUACCACUAAUGUUUGACAGAAGCCCCCCCCCAAGUAGCAAAAUCGGAAGCACCUUUCUUGUAAUGUCCUCUUCUUAAAAGACUGUUAGUUUAUCAUUACUCGUUAUGCUCAUCAGCAUUACCAUCGAUAUUAUGCAGAUGUGGCGAAGACAACAUUUCUUGAGAUCACACGUUUGCACGUGACAGUGUCAUCUAGUGUGACAUUGACUGCUCCUACAUGCACAGAGGGGUUGAGAGACAAGAGGCAGGAAGAGGCCUGGAUGCAAGACACAGUGUGACUGAUGACUAAAGGCUUUUAUGACUGGGUUAGUAGGUGUCAGUUGGUUUGAGUGGUAAAGGUUUCUCUCCCUCUAUUUCUUCCAGAUAGUUAAAGAUAAGUGUUGCACCAUCACACCAGAAUUUUUCACAGAGCUGUUCCAGGGGUCUGUAUGGAGCAAAAACACAGUAUUUUGAUAUAAAAUUCAGAUAUAAAAUGAUAACUAUUGAGGUUUGAAUGUUGUUCUAUGAUCAGAAAUGUGUUGUUUUCUGGUUUGAUUUUACUUUCCUAAAUCCACAUGGGAGAGAGGUUGUCUACGUAGUUUGGAUGACAGAAUACUGAGGAUGAGGAUGUUGCUAUGGGUACUGAAUAUGGUUUUGCGUGGCACUAUGCCGACUAGCAGAGCUUCACAAAUGGUUGUGAUUGGUGAAUGUUGAAACAAAUAUGUUAUUUUACGGUCCCCGUCUCUAGCCUUGUCUAGGCAGUAGUAGAAGUAUGAUGACACAAACCAGAUCAAGUCAAAAAUAGGUCUACAUGAUGUUAGAUGGCUCUCAUCCUGAAAGUAGUUUAUGGUCCAAGAGUUUGAGAAUUCGUGCUUUAGUUUUCUUUAAAGAGCCAUUUCAAACUUUAGCUACCACUUACAAAAAACUCAGUUGGGGUAGUGAGAGCAUUUCUUUUUUUAUGGAUAAAUCACCUUCAAAUAUCAAACCAAAUGUGUAGUCAAUGUGCAGUGAUUCUUUUUUGAAACAUUCUCACAUGCCUCCAUUACUUCAAUUGAUUUUUAGCUGGUGGUUGCUACCAUGUAAGACUUUGUUCAGGGUAAAAAAAAAACUACUAUCAAAUAAAAAGAAACAUUUUAAAUUCUCAUACUUUAGUUAUACCCCAUAUAAAUAUAUUCAGUCAUGCACAGAAUCAGAAGACCAGUGGAAGGAUAGAAAAAUGUUGAGUUUUCUUUUAUUCUUUUAUCUAAGAGCCAUUAAAAAAAAACAACAGAGGUUACUUGUUGUGAAAUUAGUUGUGGCACUACUUUUAAAUGUAGUAUUUAAGAAAAACAGCACUAGAAUGUGUAUUGUGCUUUAUGGUAGCUUUGGAGGCAGCCAUUUUGUUUAAUCAGUUUCCUCAUGCUCAGAGACAGUACCUCACUUUGACUAUGCGAGGUGUUUGACUCGUUUUGUUGGGGGAGUUGUUGAGUGGACAUGCCCAAAUCAGAACCCCAUUUCCUUUUGCCGCUUUCCUUUAUUGAGUGACAGGUCUGCAUGAACUCACAACACCCGUUACCUGUCUUUUUUUUUUCUAUUGAGAAAAACAUUUUGCUCUUUAAUUUCCAUUUCUCGUUCCAUUCUUUCAUUUUAGAAAUGUUUAAAAGGGAAAGAAUACAAUAAAUAAAAAUCUGAAUAUUCAAUCACUUUUCUACUCCUAUUUUCAAAAAAAAGAAAAAAGAAAAAAAAAAGUUGAUUUGUAUAUAAGUGAUGUACAGUUUGUAUCUGUUAAUGUCAGUCUGUCUUUGGUGACAGAGUCUGUCUUGCUUAUAACGCACGCUACCAAUAAAUAAAAAAGGAAAAAAUAUAUUUAGACUGUAUGGUCCUUGAAAGCAAGUUUUAAAUUAAUCUCUGAUGUAUA
ensembl:lncRNA